AGGCCCCGGUUCCCCACCUUAUAGGGGCGUCCCAUCACAGGCGGUGAAGCAGGUCUGCAGGUGUCUCUCUCUCCCUCUCUGUCUUCCCGUCUUCUCUCCAUUUCUCUCUGCCCUAACAACGACGACACCAAUAACAACAACAAUAAUAACUAUGACAAGGGCAACGAAAUGGAAAAUAAAUUAAUUAAAAAGGAAGAAAGCAAAGCAGAAGAGAAAUGUCGGGUCUGCUCAGGGGUGGGACUAGAUGGAGAAGUUUGUAAAGAAAAAAAAAAGAAAUCUGCAGCUUAAAGCGGCUUACAUCUUCCAAGCAGAAGCCCGUCUUGUGAUGAGCCUGAGGGAGCUUUUCUCAUUCACAGUGUCCUGGAAGGACAUGAAGGAGAAGGAGAAGGUGUUACAUUCACUGCAAAAAAAAAAAAAAAAAAAAAGAAUUGAGGAAGUGAUAUUCUACAAGGAAAGAGGAAAGUGAAGUAGAGAAAAUAAAAGCUCACGUCCACCCCUGGAUGUCUUUUGAGAUUUGGGAUACCCCCUAGGACUCAGUGUCUGCAUUACUCCACUGUUCCUGGCACCCAUUUUUGUUUGUUUGUUUGUUUGACAGAGGGUAAGGGACUGAGAGAAAGAGGAGAUACAGAGAGAAGGAGACACCACAGCUCUGCUCCAAAGCUUGUGAAAAUUCCCCUGUAAGUGGGAAGCAGUGACUCGAACCUGAGUCUUUUUAUCUGCUAACACAUAUCCACUAUUAGGUGCACCACCACCACACCCCAUAGAUUUAUGUCUUUUAUUUUUCAACUAAAGCAUGAAUCAAGUUGCAUGAGUGGUACAAUUUAGUCCCUUUUACUUUUACAGACUUUCUGAUUUUGUUACCGUUUAUUUCUUAGCUACUUGACAGUUAUUUACAUGUUAUUAUAUCAGGCAAAGGGAUUAAAUCAUUUGCUUUGCUUUAAAACUGUUGCUGGACAUUAUUGUCUCACACUGGUGUUCAAGAUUAUCUGUCAUUAUUUAGGUCAUGGCCCAGAUAUAGGCGUAAAGACAGCUGACCUAAGGGGCUGGAAUGAAAACUCACCUUUCCUGACCUCUCACUGAAACAGGCUCUGUUUCUCUCCGUGUGACAGAAGGCAGCCCGCUAAUGAAAACUAUGAGCUUUUAUUUACAGUUGAUAGACUCUUGAGCCCCAGCUGAACACUGACAACGUGCAACCUAUUGAACGUGUUCAAACAAUAAAUUAAAGGAAGCACAUUCCUUCUCUUUAUCAUUUGCAAUUUCUUUUUUUUUAAUCUUUAAUAUUUAUUUAUUUUCCCUUUUGUUGCCUUUGUGGUUUGUUGUUGUUGUUGUUGUUGGUGUAGUUAUUGUUGUUGUUAUUGAUGCCGUCGUUGUUAGAUAGGACAGAGAAAAAUGGAGAGGAGAGGGGGAGACAAAGAUAGACACCUGCAGACUUGCUUCACCGCCAUUGAAGCGACUCCCCUGCAAGUGGGGAGCCAGGGCUCAAACCAGGAUCCUUACACCGGUCCUUGCGCUUCACACCACGUGCGCUUAACCCGCUGCUCUACUGCCCGACUCCCUAUCAUUUGCAAUUUUAUCUAAUUCACCUGGGACUUCAGGGAACCUUAUUCUCUGUUAACCUAUUCUAAGAUGAUUUUAUGGAAAUCCUUUGGUUUAAGAUGACCAAGAAGACAGUAAUAAUAACUAACCCUUAGUUUGGACUUUGUUUAGAUAAGUUUCUUUUUAACUCCUCUUCUUAGGAUGAAAACUUUCCACUGUAAAUUCUUUCUCUGGCAUUUUGAGAAGGAUCGUUAAAAUAUCUCUUAACAGAAAGAAUAAUAUGGGCUGAUCUCACUCAUAAACAGAAGUUGAAAAACAAAAGCAGAAGGGAAAACACAAGCAUAACUUGGACUGGAGUUGGUGUAUUGCACCAAAGUAAAAAAGACUGGGGGGCAGGGGGUGAGGGAGUUCAGGUCCUGGAAGACAGAGGAGGAACUAGUAGGGUUUGAACUGUUAUUUGGAAAACUGAGAAAUGUUACACGUGUACAAACUACUGUAUUUUAUUUUACUGUUGACUGUAAGCCAUUAAUUCCCCAAUAAAGGAAUUUAAAAAAGA